UUUACGGUAUUACAUGUUUGUACAGUAUGUUUUCAGUUAUCCUGUAGAGGACCCCUCUAGUCAAAGACCUUCAGAGAACCCCUCGAUACCUGUAUUUAUUCACCUGAGUUUAGGAUUUCACUCCCUUUGGACCGUGUUUCACGCAAUACAGUAGCACGGGUUCCUGCAAAUUCUCUUUUUGUCAAACUCCUAAGUUUAAGUUAGAAAUUCGUACAGAUACGACUUCUGAGGUCCCGGUGUAAUGACCCAUGGUACUUGGUGUUCAACGUAAACCGGACCAAAUGUGAACAUUGCUAGUAAGGAAUUCCUGAACCAGCAGUGGAUAAUGACUAUGUACAAUGUCUGCAAUAUAAAAUGAAAACGUUUGAAAUCUUGUGUUUUUGAUUGUCAAUCCUGAAGCCAACCCCGUCAACCUGUAACAAUGGUGUCAGAGGUGGGAUACAAAUCCAACGGACGCAGAUAAUCCUCCACAGCCAUAUGGUUAACAUCUAUCAGGAGGGGGUCUAUCUAAGGAACCAAAGUCCAGAUUUUCAAGAUGAAAACGAGUCUAACAACGUCCGAGUAUAAUUUGAACUUUUGAAGGAGUCAUAUCUACGUACAUUGGUGCUGAAGUUAAAGAAAUGGACGAAAUGUUUUCCUGCAAUAGUGUUACUCUUUAACCAGCACGAACUUUUGGGAUUUUCAAUUCUGAACUUUUCACUGUAUGAUUGUAUCAAAUUCAAAUUUUCAAUCAUCUAUAGAAAUUUGGUUUGAAGUUCUAACUUGUAUUAUAUUAACUUGAUAUACUCGUUGAUUGAUUGUUUAGUUAAAUAUCAUUGAAUUGCUGAAUUUUGUAGAUUAUUGGACAACAGUUAAACGGGACCUUGGGGUCGGCUGUUAGCGCUGAUAUAAUUAAAUUUCCAAAUUGAUGAAACACCUCAGUAAGUUGUGUAUCUGUAAGUUGUUAGCGUUUCAUGUAAUUUGACGCGCGUGUAAAAUAAAGUUGUAUGUACUGUU